AACAGGAUUAGAUACCCUGGUAGUCCACGCCGUAAACGAUGUCGACUUGGAGGUUGUGCCCUUGAGGCGUGGCUUCCGGAGCUAACGCGUUAAGUCGACCGCCUGGGGAGUACGGCCGCAAGGUUAAAACUCAAAUGAAUUGACGGGGGCCCGCACAAGCGGUGGAGCAUGUGGUUUAAUUCGAUGCAACGCGAAGAACCUUACCUACUCUUGACAUCCAGAGAACUUAGCAGAGAUGCUUUGGUGCCUUCGGGAACUCUGAGACAGGUGCUGCAUGGCUGUCGUCAGCUCGUGUUGUGAAAUGUUGGGUUAAGUCCCGCAACGAGCGCAACCCUUAUCCUUUGUUGCCAGCGGUUAGGCCGGGAACUCAAAGGAGACUGCCAGUGAUAAACUGGAGGAAGGUGGGGAUGACGUCAAGUCAUCAUGGCCCUUACGAGUAGGGCUACACACGUGCUGCAAUGGCAUAUACAAAGAGAAGCGACCUCGCGAGAGCAAGCGGACCUCAUAAAGUAUGUCGUAGUCCGGAUUGGAGUCUGCAACUCGACUCCAUGAAGUCGGAAUCGCUAGUAAUCGUGGAUCAGAAUGCCACGGUGAAUACGUUCCCGGGCCUUGUACACACCGCCCGUCACACCAUGGGAGUGGGUUGCAAAAGAAGUAGGUAGCUUAACCUUCGGGAGGGCGCUUACCACUUUGUGAUUCAUGACUGGGGUGAAGUCGUAACAAGGUAACC
rnacentral:rRNA from 1 species